UUUACUAUCUUACUUCAGAGAAGACCCAGGACUCAUUCAUCAUUCAGUGGGCAGGAGAGAUGUAGAAGGAUUUCCCCAAGUGUAUUCUGAACAUAAAGUUAAGGAAGCAAGGAGUGAUGUUCAUAUUUUGACCAAAGGAGAAGAUACACUAAAAUUGGCUGAUCCUUCACAUGCGUGAUCCCUUGAGCCUGUAGCAUUCAUUCCAAUUCUCCUGCAAUGAACCAUGAAUUUCUCCUCUAUUAAAACUGAAGAAGAGAUGUGCCAGUGAAUGAUGCCUGUAACUAAAACUAGAUGGCUCGCAGGACUUGAAAUGAACUGCUACCCACCAAACACCCACAGCCUCCUGAACAUCUGCUCUGGGCUACUACUGUCUUUGUACGUCGGUCUUGGCCUGCUGGAUAGAGUGGUCUCUUUACCACCCUCUCUCUUCUGCACGGAGAAGGCACGUUGAGUGGGAGUCUGUCACCCUGUGCUCACUUAAUGAGUACGCAUCAAAGGCCCACUGUGCUCAAUGGAACAAAUCCCAAGAUGCUAUAAGUGAGGGAAACCAGGGAAUGGAAUUAAUGGUUCUCGCCCUCACAGGGUAAUUAUAGUUUUUCCCAUGACUCAUGGAUAAGACACUGAAGAUGAAUAGAAGGACAAAAA